rnacentral:rRNA from 1 species
UACGUAGGGUGCGAGCGUUGUCCGGAAUUACUGGGCGUAAAGAGCUCGUAGGUGGUUUGUCGCGUUGUUCGUGAAAUCUCACGGCUUAACUGUGAGCGUGCGGGCGAUACGGGCAGACUAGAGUACUGCAGGGGAGACUGGAAUUCCUGGUGUAGCGGUGGAAUGCGCAGAUAUCAGGAGGAACACCGGUGGCGAAGGCGGGUCUCUGGGCAUUAACUGACGCUGAGGAGCGAAAGCAUGGGGGAGCGAACAGG